UUAUAAAAAAAAGCCUUCCUGUGUUUUUAGAAGAUGUACAAAGUAUACUUUAACUAUGAAUGAAAAAAACGUAUCAUUUCAUACGUUAGUAAUAAGUUUACACUAUUUAACUAUUUUUUUAACUAAUAAAUGCAUUUUAUUCGACUGUCAUGGCGACGGGGCGGUCGACGCUCGGUCCCAUUCGGGCUCACUCGGGCCGUAUCAAUGCGAGCUGCUAGGGCUGUGACUAUAGUAAAUACUGCGCUGUUUUUAUGUGCAAUGUUGUUAGGCUAUGACGCGUCUGGUUGUAAAACAUCAUUGGUUUAACGGAUACUUUUUGACUACACUAAAAAUUACACGUUUAAAUAAACUUUCAUUUUUUUUAACAACCUGUUAACCAAUUCAUACUGUGAUAUUAAUUUUGCCCCGUAUAUAUUCAAAAUUGUAUUGUUUUAGUGAAAUAUUUGAAGUCGUUGCGCGGCACCAAAUUACUAUGCGUGGACGGAUUUACCUUCUGCAUGCAUCGAACCCAUGGACUUAAGGUCUCGUGGAGCUGCUCUACACAUAAUAAUAAAGGAUGCCGAGCCAGAGCGCACACCGUGGAAAAUUAAGAUACCUGAUGUCCACCCGUGGAACAAAGUUGCUGUGUGUCGACGGCUACAAGUUCUGCGUGAAGAGAAAGGCAGGGCCCAAAGUUUAUUGGUUCUGCUCAACCCACAACCCGAAAGGCUGCCGAGCAAGAGCAUUGUCUGUUGACGACGAAAUUCUCAGAUUGAAUAACGAGCAUAACCAUCCACCGACAUUGUAAUUCGUCUUUACGAUACGGUUGAUUUUAAAUGAUCCCAUUCUUAAUCGAUUCCCGGGAAUGAACUAAUCAAUAUAUAUGUAUAUGUGCCUAUCCGGUUCCAACAGACCGGCAUAAUUGUAUCGACUGUCGAGGGGUAAUCAUGUCUCGUCAGGCGAUAUUCUAUUGGAGCCCACUCGACUGGUGCAGUGAGAUCAAUUUGCUGUGUCUGUAUAUCAAAGUCCGGAUGUAAAAAAUAUGUCAUUUUAAAGCAUGUCAAAAAAGACUUCACGGCCCAUAUUGUGUAUGAUAGUGUAAACGCGUAACGCGGCCGUGUCAUGUUAUCUUCGAGAAAUGUGCGUGGAAUGGUAUUCUGUAAGACAAAUUUCUAUAGUCCUAAACAUGAUGCGUUGUGUUACGCGCUUGUUACGCACUGUUAAAAUAACGUGCGGAAUAGAGAAUAAGGCCCCUGAUUGGUUCAUUUUUGUGAUCUAAAAAUCUUUUGGGAUCGUUUACUGCAAUGGACAGAUAGCUGUUUGCCGGAUAGAGCAUCGUAUAAGCAUUUUUUAUUAUUCAAAUUAUAGUAUCAUAGUAAUGCGUGUAAAUAUUCGAUAGCGUUUAAUCAGCGCCUUAGAGGAAUUUUUUUAUAAAUCCUUUUCAGUGCUCAUUUACAUGAUGUGUAAUUUUCAAAUUUCUAGAGUAGGUCUAAACUGUGUGUUAUCAAUUAUAUAAUAAUAUUAAUUCAAGUAGAAUAUAAUUAGUUCGUACUACGACAAGAUUAAUGUCAACAGCCUUUGUCGGAUUAAAGUGAAUAUAGCGUUAACGGCUGAUUUUUCAAUCGUCAAAACAAAGUUACCCGUCAAAUAAAUCCUAAUCCGAGUGAAUAUAAAACUGUCAAUUUUAAUUUGUUUAUGUUGUAUUUUACAUGACGGAUAAUUGUUAGCUAAAUGAAAAAUCACACUUUAAUCAAUGUUAAAAUAUCAAAUAAACACCAUUCUCAACUUAUUAUGAUGGAUAUUGGCAUCGACUACGUUUGUACUCAAAUAUUGCGACAAUUAAUGACAUUUGAUUUUGCCGUGGCCCUACCAUGAUUAUUCCAUGUAAUGCAUUUUUAUAGCCUAUAUUUUAUAUUUAGCAUAAUAUAUUUUUAACUAGUAGCUUUCGAGUUCCGAAUAAUUAAAUUAGUGUAAUAAAAUAGUGUAGUAUAGUGAUUGAUUAUAAUUAUAAGAAUUCCAAAUGAAUAUAUCCUAAAUGUCUUCUAUAGUAUGAAGUCCGUCAGGCCUGUUCCAUUGCUGAUUUAAACCUUCACCCCUAGAUUGGUUUACUGCAUUAUAUCAGAUCAGUAUUUAGUUUAUAAUGACAGCCUGUCAUUCAGAUCGUUCUGAUAUGCUAUAAAUUAAAAUAAAAUUUUCGAGUAGU